CCUCAGCUGCCCGANGAGGAUUCGGGGCGGAGAGCUGGCCACCAGCGACCUGGGCGUAGUUGCCCCUUNGCUUUUUGGAGUUUGGUGGCUCCUGUGGCGUGAUUUGGUUGCUUUUACGUUUGGCUGCCGGGGUUGCCGUCUUUCCGCUGCCAGUCCUAACGGUUGGAUUCGCCGUGCCGAAUAUGCCUUGCGACUUAAGCCCCUGCACCACGGCAAGAUGCCUACCAUUCGCAGGAGCUUACAGAAGUACGUAGGAUUUUUUUUUUAUCUUGCAUAGUUUGUUUUUUAUUAACAAAUUUCAAGCAAUUUUUUGGGUCAAAUUGUUACUUGUCCCUUUAAAGGCCCGCCAUUUUGUCAAAAAUUCUGUAGCUAUUGCUAUUUACAAGCAGAAACCGUUGAACAACUUAUUAAAAUAAAAAAAUUACAAGAGCUGUGUGUCCGGCCGUGAUUCCCGAAAAAACGGAGACAUCCUAGGGAGAACGCUGUGUAGCCGCCAUUUUUCAAUUAAUUUUUCUUCAAAAAUNGUUAUAAGCUGUUAAUUAUAUGUAUAAUAAAUCCCUGUUGUUAAAAACCAGAUUUAUUUAAUAGUUUUCGCGAAAUAAAAUCUAAAACAAAAAGCCUAUUUUAUGACCCUCUAGAGUGGCCUAACCCCUUAAGCAAUACCAACAGCUCGGGAAGGAAGGAAACUCUGAAAGUUUUCGACACAGUACCCGCUGGUGGAAGCAGAGGACGUGAGAGAUGUACACUCCGUUGGAAAGACCAGUUGGAGAAGGUUCUGGCUGCACUUGUAAUCUCCAAUUGNCCCCAGCNCUAAAAAAGGAAGAACGAUCGUCGCGUAUUGUAAUCUCGGCUAUAACCGCUAUCUAUGCUUACGACCAUCUAUCAACCGUGUUAAAGAAUUUAAAAUUCAAGGUUGUAAUGGCAGUGUUCUUCGAUUAUCUCUGUGGUGCAUUCCGAACUUCUUUCNACCAGACAAACUGUCAACAAAGAUUUGUGUACGCGAAGCUGUUCCUAAAGUGCUCACUGAUGACCAGAACUUGCGCCUUUCCUUCGAACAGCUACCUAACCAAGGCCGAUAUCCCAACGUUUCCGUACCCACCCUACAGCGCAGAUGUGUCCCUGGACAUAUUUUACUUCCUUGCCCGAAAAGACUGAAGCAAGGCACGCAUUUUAAGACGACAAAGGGUACCCAAGCAGCAUGCACCUCGGCUCUCAAGGCUAUUCCUGAGAAUGCCUUCCGUGAUGCCUUCAAUGCUUGCAAAUCGCCCUGGCAAUGCUGCAUCGACGCAUAAGGAGCCCGUUUUGAAAGUUUUUAAAGAAUUAUAACUAUUGGUUCAAUAAAUUUUUUGACAUCGACUCACUGUUACUUUCCGGACAAACCCUGUAUGACCAAAGUAUUACUAAAUUUUGCUCAUAGUGAUAUUUUUCGGCUCGAACUAAUAUGGAUUUGAAGGAUAUUAAAAGUGAUACCAAGAGUUCACAAUUAAAAAAUAGUUCGUCAUUUAUGAUGAAUAUUUUUCGUGGAAAAAUGCUUUCAGCGGAAGUUUUCCCAUACCCUGACGUCUUGGAGNCAGAUGAAAAAGAACUAAUUUUGAGUUUGGUUGAUCCA
rnacentral:lncRNA from 1 species